GAUGAAGAACGCAGUGAAAUGCGAUAAGUAAUGCGAAUUGCAGAAUUCAGUGAAUCAUCGAAUCUUUGAACGCACAUUGCGCCCGCCAGUACUCUGGCGGGCAUGCCUGUCUGAGCGUCAUUUCAACCCUCGCGCCCGGCUUCUGUCGGGGGCGGUGUUGGGGAUCGGCCUUCCGUCUUCCGGGCGGCCGGCCCCUAAAUGGAGUGGCGACCGCGCCGUAGCCUCCUCUGCGUAGUAGUGAAACACUCGCGGGCGGAGAGCGGUGCGGCCCGCCGUAAAACCCCCAACUCUUCUAAGGUUGACCUCAGAUCAGGUAGGAAUACCCGCUGAACUUAAGCAUAUCAAUAAGCGGAGGA
rnacentral:misc_RNA from 1 species